UUUAAGUAAAAUAUUGUGGCUUACCUGAUUCCCAUGCAGUUAUCAGCUGGUGAGAUUUUACAAAAUAUGCUGUAACUUAUGGAAGCAUCUUCAAAGAGAGGUGGUAAAGAGUCAGAUCCUUCCAAGUUAAAGGAAACUUCACUGUUACCCUUCAUCUGGCACUAAUGUUUUCUCUGGGAGAGAGGAGCAGAGAGGAGAGAAGGAUGAUUGCCUUCCAGGUCUCAUGUUCAGUGUUGAAAGAAUUGGAAUUAGACCCCUAAGCUGUGGUGACCAUUUCCUGUGCAUGCUGAAGAGUUCAGCCAAGUUCCUGAGGGAACACGCAACACCCUGGGAAUAUGGAGUGGAACAAAGAUACCUCAACAUCUGCAAAAACAUGAAGCAUUAUUCCUUAUAUUUCACAUUGUGAAGUAUGGGUAGAAUUCAAACUUGAAGCUUUCAAUUGUAAUAUUUAAUUUAAUUUAAGUUACAUAAUGGAAAGAAGCUCUUUAUAAACUGAUAGUUCUU